rnacentral:rRNA from 1 species
UUCGUAGGUGGUGCGGCAAGUUGGAAGUGAAAUCUCUGGGCUUAACUCAGAGGCUGCUUUCAAAACUGCCGUGCUCGAGUGCGAGAGAGGCCAGUGGAAUUGCAGGUGUAGCGGUGAAAUGCGUAGAUAUCUGCAGGAACACCCGUGGCGAAGGCGGCUGGCUGGAUCGCAACUGACACUGAGGAACGAAAGCUAGGGGAGCAAACAGGAUUAGAUACCCUGGUAGUCCUAGCCCUAAACCAUCAGGACUUGGGGUGGCCCGCGUAGGCGGGUCGUCCCGUAGCUAACGCGUUAAGUCCUGCGCCUGGGGAGUACGGUCGCAAGACUGAA